rnacentral:rRNA from 1 species
GACGAACCGUGCGAACGUUGUUCGGAAUCACUGGGCUUAAAGGGCGCGUAGGCGGGUUCGAAAGUCUGUGGUGAAAUCCUCCAGCUUAACUGGAGAAGUGCCGUGGAUACUGCGAACCUGGAGGAGGGUAGGGGCAUCUGGAACGCUGGGUGGAGCGGUGAAAUGCGUUGAUAUCCAGCGGAACUCCGGUGGCGAAGGCGAGGUGCUGGACCCUUUCUGACGCUGAGGCGCGAAAGCCAGGGGAGCAAAGCGGG